CUUCCGUAGGGGAACCUGCGGAAGGAUCAUUACCGAGUGCGGGUCCUUUGGGCCCAACCUCCCAUCCGUGUCUAUUGUACCCUGUUGCUUCGGCGGGCCCGCCGCUUGUCGGCCGCCGGGGGGGCGCCUCUGCCCCCCGGGCCCGUGCCCGCCGGAGACCCCAACACGAACACUGUCUGAAAGCGUGCAGUCUGAGUUGAUUGAAUGCAAUCAGUUAAAACUUUCAACAAUGGAUCUCUUGGUUCCGGCAUCGAUGAAGAACGCAGCGAAAUGCGAUAACUAAUGUGAAUUGCAGAAUUCAGUGAAUCAUCGAGUCUUUGAACGCACAUUGCGCCCCCUGGUAUUCCGGGGGGCAUGCCUGUCCGAGCGUCAUUGCUGCCCUCAAGCCCGGCUUGUGUGUUGGGUCGCCGUCCCCCUCUCCGGGGGGACGGGCCCGAAAGGCAGCGGCGGCACCGCGUCCGAUCCUCGAGCGUAUGGGGCUUUGUCACAUGCUCUGUAGGAUUGGCCGGCGCCUGCCGACGUUUUCCAACCAUUCUUUCCAGGUUGACCUCGGAUCAGGUAGGGGAUACCCGCUGAACUUAAGCAUAUCAAUAGCGGAGGAAU
rnacentral:rRNA from 1 species